GGAAGUAAAAGUCGUAACAAGGUCUCCGUUGGUGAACCAGCGGAGGGAUCAUUACAGGACUCGCAAGACUCCUACAACCCUGUGAACUUAACUAUAAGCACGUUGCUUCGGCGGGUGUCUCGGCGCGGGUUCUCCCGCUCCGGGGCGCUAAGCCCGCCGGCAGCCUACUAUACUCUGUCUCUUUGCGUUGGCAUCUCGAGUACAAACAAACAAGUUAAAACUUUCAACAACGGAUCUCUUGGUUCUGGCAUCGAUGAAGAACGCAGCGAAAUGCGAUAAGUAAUGCGAAUUGCAGAAUUCCGUGAGUCAUCGAAUCUUUGAACGCACAUUGCGCCCGCCAGCAUUCUGGCGGGCAUGCCUGUUCGAGCGUCAUUUCAACCCUCAGGCCCUGCCUGGUGUUGGAGGACUGCGCAUGCAGCCUCCCAAAGACAGCGGCGGCGGCGCCCCAAAACCGAACGCAGUAGUUACUUCUCGUUCUGGGUCUGGGUCGUUGUCCUGCCGGAAAACCCCCCUCUUUUACAUGGUUGACCUCGAAUCAGGUAGGAAUACCCGCUGAACUUAAGCAUAUCAAUAAGCGGAGGA
rnacentral:rRNA from 1 species